rnacentral:tRNA from 2 species
GCGGGAAUAGCUCAGUUUGGGAGAGCGCAACCUUGCCAAGGUUGAGGUCGCGAGUUCAAGUCUCGUUUCCCGCUCCA